rnacentral:rRNA from 1 species
UAACACGUAUCCAACCUGCCGUCUACUCUUGGCCAGCCUUCUGAAAGGAAGAUUAAUCCAGGAUGGGAUCAUGAGUUCACAUGUCCGCAUGAUUAAAGGUAUUUUCCGGUAGACGAUGGGGAUGCGUUCCAUUAGAUAGUAGGCGGGGUAACGGCCCACCUAGUCAACGAUGGAUAGGGGUUCUGAGAGGAAGGUCCCCCACAUUGGAACUGAGACACGGUCCAAACUCCUACGGGAGGCAGCAGUGAGGAAUAUUGGUCAAUGGGCGAUGGCCUGAACCAGCCAAGUAGCGUGAAGGAUGACUGCCCUAUGGGUUGUAAACUUCUUUUAUAAAGGAAUAAAGUCGGGUAUGCAUACCCGUUUGCAUGUACUUUAUGAAUAAGGAUCGGCUAACUCCGUGCCAGCAGCCGCGGUAAUACGGAGGAUCCGAGCGUUAUCCGGAUUUAUUGGGUUUAAAGGGAGCGUAGAUGGAUGUUUAAGUCAGUUGUGAAAGUUUGCGGCUCAACCGUAAAAUUGCAGUUGAUACUGGAUGUCUUGAGUGCAGUUGAGGCAGGCGGAAUUCGUGGUGUAGCGGUGAAAUGCUUAGAUAUCACGAAGAACUCCGAUUGCGAAGGCAGCCUGCUAAGCUGCAACUGACAUUGAGGCUCGAAAGUGUGGGUAUCAAACAGGAUUAGAUACCCUGGUAGUCCACACGGUAAACGAUGAAUACUCGCUGU